CUGUCUCCCCGCGAUGCUCUCACCCGCCUGGCCGCGGACGCCGGCCCGCGCGGCCCCCGGUGCUGCUUCGCGGCCUGCGGCACCGGCGUCGCCGAGUUCGGCCUCCGGGAAGCGACACUCCUGGCCUGCCGGUGGGACCUGCACGGCAGGCCUGCGCCGUGGGGGCCGCCAGGGCUUGCUCCGCACAGCCCACGUCUCCCGGCCUCGGGGCUGCGGGAGAACCGGGCUGCUCCAGCCCCCCAGGAAGACACAGAGCGAGCCAGGAGGGAGACUCCUGUCCCAGCUCCCUCGCCUGCCUUGCCAGGAGGAGGACGGGGAGCACCAUGGUGAACACGAAGAGCAUGGAAAGAUGGCCAGGACCACGCAGUCGCUGGAGAAAUUGUCUGGGAUGUCCUUGGAUGGCUGUGAAGAGGCGGGCACGCCGUCGGGGACGGACGAGGCUGAGCCCGCAGAGACCUCGCUCUCCGGAAGGCCGCUGCCGCCCUUCAUCCGCCAGUUCCAGGGCUCGGAGUGGUUCAAGCAGGUCUUCCCCAGCCUGGGCCUGAUGGCCUUUGUGAAGCAAGCGAACAUGGAUGAGUUUGCACACGUGCUCCUGGAAAAGCUGCUUACUGAGGACUACGGCAYGAAGACGCCGAUAUUGCAAGCCCUCCUCACGCUCUGCAACCAGCCUGAGCCGAAGAUUCAGCAUCGGCUUCAAGACGUCCUGCUUUACCUCCUGAAGUGGAGGAACCCUCCCGCAACGCAGGCGAGCGCAGCAYGCUCCUUGCCUUCUCCUCUCCCGACGCGGGGCUAAAACUGGUCCCUCCAGACCCUGGGAGGGCCCACGCGGCGUUCAGGCGCCAGCGGUCACUGCACAGCACCGGGCAGCAGCUCUGCCCAUCCGGCUCUCUGCCGGGGCGCUUGCCUUGGGCGCAGGCUCCGGGGUCCUGGAGCGCUUUGCACAGCGUGGGAUACCCUCUCCUCUCUGCACCGCACGUGCUCCCUGCUCUUCCUCCCACGUGAUGUGCCGGAGCCUUACUGAGGGCAGAACUCAACGGUCACAAACAGCUGGUUUUGCUGCUCCAUCACACUUCACAAGCAGACACCUCCAUGGAGCUCCUUUCCUGCUGGGAGCGAGGCUGGACUGAUGCUCUUUCUUCUCCCAUUGCAGGAAAAAAAUCAGAAAAGAUUUGUCCUAACCUGCUUCCGAGCCCUCACGGAUAUUUGCACGGGCAGCGAAAGCUUGCUCAUGGCGUAUUCCCUCCAGGCUCCYGUCUCCAGCCGGUGCGUGGCGGGGUGCACGCAGGGAGGGCCGGUGCGCUGUGAAGGGGGAAGCGGAGCCUCACCUUUCCCGAGCGAACCAUAGGCUCUCCAGGACGAGUCUUAAACCAGAGCAAACGGCAGGCGCCUCCUGGCAGACCCUGGCUGCUCCACAUCAGCAGUAGCGACUCUUCUUCCACGCCGUGUCAGAAGUUUUUGCYUGGGCCAAGAAACUGGGGCACGCUCUGCCCCGGGCUUGCGGCGAGGUGGAAGAGGUCUAGGCCAUUCGGUAUCCGUCCCCUGAGCAUCGCGGCGGGGGUCGGGUGCUGCUCGGUGUUUUAGACCCGUCAUGUCCACAGCCGGCCACGUUCUUGCGCCCCACGUCCCGUCCGCAACCUUGCGGGUCAGGUUUCUCUCCUCCGCUCAUCUGACACCGGCCUCCUUCAUCCUUGCCUGCAAAGGGACUCCCUGCGACCGCGCCGGGAGCUGAGCUCAGCGUCCCGUUUCGCGGCGUGGCUGGGGCUGCCGAUGCGCAGGCUUGCAGCCCAGGCGCG
ensembl:lncRNA